UCUGUCAGUAUUCCAUUACAACCCUAUUUUAUACCUUCAUUCCUAAUAAAUAUUUUGCACUCAUUACUGACUUUUGACUUUGGAUAAAGAAAACCUGAAAUCAUGAAAUGGUGGUAACAAUUUUCAGUUUUUAAAAAAAAUUUGCUUAAUGAGUUUCUUUGGAAUAACAUCUAUUCCAAUAAAAAGAAUUGGAAAAAAGUUCAUCAAAAAACAAGCUAAAAGUACAUAGCGUCAGAAAAACAAUUCCUUCACAUUCUAUUAAAGAAAGACAAAUAAACUUUUAUACAGUCCUUGUCUUGGCAUUCUCAUAAAUGCACAUUUUUUAACGAUCAGGUUGAAUGAGAAAUUUAGUGGAAAGUAAAAUUUUAUACAGAAAGUUAGUUUCACAUUUCAGUAUUAACAGAAGUCUUGUAAUAAAUUCUCAGACCACAUUCAAAUAGGAAUUCCCAUAAAAGGAAAUACCAGUGUUCAGAAGUAGUAUAAGAGCCAUUUGCUGUAAUUUUCCCCCUUAUAAUAGGAGACAGUUUUGGCUACCUGUUCUUUAUGCACAUGACGCAACAAAUAUGGAUCCUCUUCUGCUCAAGCACAGCAUGGAAAAGCCCUCAAUGAAUGUCCCACUUAGUGUUUGUCACUGCUUUUCUUCCAAGGACCAAGCGUCUUUUGUGAGGAUGGGCAACACUGAAACAGGCACAAGUAUAAGACUUUGCAGAUUCAAGAAGAACAUGCGUCUUUGUGGGGAAGAGUGA
rnacentral:lncRNA from 1 species